rnacentral:rRNA from 1 species
AGUGAACGCUGGCGGCAGGCCUAACACAUGCAAGUCGAGCGGCAGCGGGUCCUUCGGGAUGCCGGCGAGCGGCGGACGGGUGAGGAAUGCGUCGGAACCUGCCUUUUUGUGGGGGAUAACGCAGGGAAACUUACGCUAAUACCGCAUACGACCUACGGGUGAAAGUGGGGGACCGCAAGGCCUCACGCAGAUAGAUGAGCCGACGUCGGAUUAGCUAGUUGGCGGGGUAAAGGCCCACCAAGGCGACGAUCCGUAGCUGGUCUGAGAGGAUGAUCAGCCACACUGGAACUGAGACACGGUCCAGACUCCUACGGGAGGCAGCAGUGGGGAAUAUUGGACAAUGGGCGCAAGCCUGAUCCAGCCAUGCCGCGUGUGUGAAGAAGGCCUUCGGGUUGUAAAGCACUUUUGUCCGGAAAGAAAUCCUUUCGGCUAAUACCCGGCGUGGAUGACGGUACCGGAAGAAUAAGCACCGGCUAACUUCGUG